UGGGGAAUAUUGGACAAUGGGGGAAACCCUGAUCCAGCAAUGCCGCGUGAGUGAAGAAGGCCUUAGGGUUGUAAAGCUCUUUCGCCCGCGAAGAUAAUGACGGUAGCGGGAGAAGAAGCCCCGGCUAACUCCGUGCCAGCAGCCGCGGUAAGACGAAGGGGGCAAGCGUUGUUCGGAAUUACUGGGCGUAAAGCGAGUGUAGGUGGUUGUCAUAGUCAGGUGUGAAUGCCUUGAGCUCAACUCAAGAAAUGCACUUGAUACUGGGCGACUAGAGGACCGGAGAGGAUAGUGGAAUUCCCAGUGUAGUGGUGAAAUACGUAGAGAUUGGGAAGAACACCAGUGGCGAAGGCGGCUAUCUGGACGGUUUCUGACACUAAGACUCGAAAGCGUGGGGAGCAAACA
rnacentral:rRNA from 1 species